rnacentral:rRNA from 1 species
ACUAAGCCUAGCCCUAACAUAAACUCAACAUAACCAUUUACAACAAUAAAACAAAACAUUCGACAAAAGAUAGUAUUGGAGAAAGAAAUCUGUAUUAGGAGCAAUAGAGAAAGUACCGCAAGGGAAAGAUGAAAGAACACUUAAAAGUAAAUAAAAGCAAAGAUUAAACCUUGUACCUUUUGCAUAAUGAGUUAACUAGAAAACAUCUAACUAAGAGACCUUUAGCUAGAUACCCCGAAACCAAACGAGCUACCUAAGAGCAGUAUAAACGAACCAACCCGUCUAUGUAGCAAAAUAGUGGGACGACUCCUAGGUAGAGGUGAAAAGCCUACCGAGCUUGGUGAUAGCUGGUUACCCAAUAAAGAAUUUAAGUUCAACUUUAAGAUUACCUCAAGAAAAAAAAAAUCAAAAUGUAAUCUUAAAUUUUAGCCUAAAGAGGGACAGCUCUUUGGGAACGGAAACAACCUUACAUAGUGAAUAAACCUUUACUUAUAAAAACCAUUGUUGGCCUAAAAGCAGCCAUCAAUAAAGAAAGCGUUAAAGCUCAACACUACAAACCCCCUCAAUCCCAUAAACCUCAAUGAAUUCCUAUUAGUACUAAUUGGGUUAAUCUAUAAUUAUAUAGAUGAGACAAUGUUAACAUGAGUAACAAGAACGCCGUUCUCCAAGCACAAGCCUAUAACAACCCGGAUAACCAUUGUUAGUUAACACUCACAGGUGAAAACACAUCAAUAAAGACAACCUACACCCCAAAAUGUUAAUCCAACACAGGCGUGCAACAAGGAAAGAUUAAAAGAAGUAAAAGGAACUCGGCAAACAAGAAUCCCGCCUGUUUACCAAAAACAUCACCUCCAGCAUAAAAAGUAUUGGAGGCACUGCCUGCCCAGUGACAUACGUUUAACGGCCGCGGUAUCCUGACCGUGCAAAGGUAGCAUAAUCACUUGUUCCUUAAUUGGGGACUGGAAUGAAUGGCCACACGAGGAUUCAACUGUCUCUUACUUCCAAUCAGUGAAAUUGACCUCCCCGUGAAGAGGCGGGGAUACUACAAUAAGACGAGAAGACCCUAUGGAGCUUCAAUUAACUGACUUAACUAUUUAACUUUUUACCCUAAUGGAUUAAACAACAAGUAAAUAAGCCAGUAAUUUCGGUUGGGGUGACCUCGGAGAAUAAAUUAACCUCCGAAUGAUUAUAACCUAGACCUACAAGUCAAAGUACUAAAAAUCAAAUUGACCCAAUUUAUUUGAUCAACGGACCAAGUUACCCUAGGGAUAACAGCGCAAUCCUAUUCAAGAGUCCAUAUCGACAAUUAGGGUUUACGACCUCGAUGUUGGAUCAGGACAUCCCAAUGGUGUAGCAGCUAUUAAUGGUUCGUUUGUUCAACGAUUAAAGUCCUACGUGAUCUGAGUUCAGACCGGAGUAAUCCAGGUCGGUUUCUAUCUAUUUACUAUUUCUCCCAGUACGAAAGGACAAGAGAAAUGGGGCCUCCUUAACCUAAGCGCCCCAAAACUAAUACAUGAAAUUAUCUUAAUUUAGUAAGUUAGUUCCACAACACCCUAGACAAGGGUU